rnacentral:rRNA from 1 species
AACGAACGCUGGCGGCAUGCCUAACACAUGCAAGUCGAACGAGACCUUCGGGUCUAGUGGCGCACGGGUGCGUAACACGUGGGAAUUUGCCUCGGGGUAUGGAAUAACUCAGGGAAACGUGAGCUAAUACCAUAUAAUGUCUUCGGACCAAAGAUUUAUCGCCCUGAGAUAAGCCCGCGUAGGAUUAGCUAGUUGGUGGGGUAAAGGCUCACCAAGGCGACGAUCCUUAGCUGGUCUGAGAGGAUGAUCAGCCACACUGGGACUGAGACACGGCCCAGACUCCUACGGGAGGCAGCAGUGGGAAUAUUGGACAAUGGGCGAAAGCCUGAUCCAGCAAUGCCGCGUGAGUGAUG